rnacentral:rRNA from 1 species
UACGAAGGGGGCGAGCGUUGUUCGGAUUUACUGGGCGUAAAGGGCGCGCAGGCGGCUCAUUUUGUCAGGCGUGAAAGCCCCGGGCUUAACCUGGGAACUGCGUUUGAUACGGAUGGGCUAGAGUUCGGGAGAGGAGAGUGGAAUUCCCAGUGUAGAGGUGAAAUUCGUAGAUAUUGGGAAGAACACCGGUGGCGAAGGCGGCAUCCUGGACCGACAUUGACGCUGAGGCGCGAAAGCCAGGGGAGCAAACGGG